CCUAUGGAGAGUACAAAACAAUGUGAGUACUGAUUGGGGACAUCCAUCAUGAAAGCAUACUCGACGAAAUAGGAA
rnacentral:ncRNA from 1 species